rfam:Dipodomys ordii contig_48148, whole genome shotgun sequence.
GUAGCUCAGUGGUAGAGUGCUUGCCUUGCAUGCAUGAGGCCCUGGGUUCUAUUCCUCAGC